AUUAAUAAUUAAUAUAUUUAAUAAAAAUAAUUUUAAUUUAAUAAGUAUUUUAAUGGGGGUUAAAGUAUUUUUUAAAGAAAAAAUUUUUAAAUUUAUAGUUAAUUAGUAUUGUGAAAGAAUUUUGAAAUAUUAUGAAAAAUAAAAUUUUUAGAAAGUAAUUUUUAUUUAUUGUAUCUUGUGUAUCAGAGUUUAUUAAAAAUUUUUAAUUUAUGAAUUAAUUUCUCGAAUUUAAAAGAGUUAAAUAAUUAUUAAAGUUAUUGUAGCAAAAUUAUUUUAAAUAAUUAUUUAGAAAUGAAAUGUUAAUCGUUUUUAAAUAUAUCUAGUUUUUAUAGAAAAAAAUUUAAUUUUAAAUUUAAAAAUUAUUUAAUUAAUUUAUUAAUUAAAUAGUUACUUAAAUUUUAUAAUUUAAGGGAUAAGCUUUAAAUUAAAUUUUUAUAAUAUUAAAUUUUUAUUUUGAAAAUUUUAUAAUUUAUAUUGUUAAUAAAUUUUAUUUUGUUAUAAAUAAUUUCAUUUUUUUUAAAAUUUAAAUUUUAUUUAAUUUUUUAUAUAAAAUUUAUUUAUAAUUAUAUAAAGUUAAUUAUAAUGAUAAAAUUAGUAUAUUAUUUAAUAUUAAAUUAAAAUUAAUUUUUGAUUAAUAAUUAAAUUAAUUAAAAGGAAUUCGGCAAAUAUUUAUUUUCACUUGUUUAUCAAAAACAUGUCUUUUUGUUAUUUAAUUUAAAGUCUAAUCUGCCCACUGAUUUAUAAAAAUUGAAGGGCUGCAGUAUAUUGACUGUACAAAGGUAGCAUAAUCAUUAGUCUCUUAAUUGGUGACUUGUAUGAAAGAUUGGAUGAAAAAUAUACUGUCUCUUAAUUAAUAUAUAGAAUUUAAUUUUUUAUUUAAAAAGUUAAAAUAACUUAAAAAGACCAGAAGACCCUAUAGAGUUUAAUAAAUUAUUUUAUGAAAGUUUUAUUUAUAUUUAUUAAUAAUUUUAUAAAUUUACUUAUUUAGUUGGGGUGAUAAAAAAAUAAAUUUAACUUUUUUUAAGUAAUUUACAUGGAUAAGUGAUUAAU
rnacentral:rRNA from 1 species